CAGCAUAUGUCAGUUUAGUUUCAGCCGUCGCGGCGUUCACACCAACCUUCUCUGUCCCAGACUUUAACCUCUCUUAUCUCGCCUCUCUGUUCGUUUCGUCUACCCGCGAGGUGAGUGAGGCGAGGCCUUUAUCUGCCAGCUCAUCACAGCGAGAGAUAACAACAGAGACUCUGCGAGAUUAACGAUGCAGAGAGCGCCCUCAGCCCAUCACCAGACUAUGCCGGGUCUCCAGCCACGUCAAGAACAGAGAUAGAGGCCUCAGGUGAUCACGACAUCCUCUAUUCACGACUCCCAAGGCUGUCCAUCUCAUACGAGACCUUGAUCUCAUAUAAGGGACAAAUAUCUUCAAGAGACUUACUGCUGAUGCGGCCAUAAUCUAGCAAGUAUGGCCAGCAGUUUUGAGCGAUACCCUGGUGUGGAGAUACUGCUGCCAGGGUAUGUUAAGCCGCCUCCGUUCUCGCACUCAAAACGGAAGCCCACUUCCCUUCGUGUAGACGCUGGGCAAUGAGGAUGUGAGACUUGCUGUAAAAGAACUGCCACUGGGAACAGUAUGAUCACACAUUUCCUAACAGAAAUCUCCAAUUCCGGAAUGGACUUCAUCAACAAAACUGUCAUGGCUGGCCGCUCUAAACUUUCCAGGCUCAUUUACGUUAAGCCGUACUCCCCAUCAAACUCUGACAAUGAAAGUGAAAAUGAAACCGUGAACAUAACAAAAAUCAA